rnacentral:rRNA from 1 species
AUACGGAGGGUGCGAGCGUUAAUCGGAAUCACUGGGCGUAAAGAACGCGUAGGCGGGUUGGCAAGUCAGAUGUGAAAUCCUACAGCUUAACUGUAGAACUGCAUUUGAAACUGCUAACCUAGAGUAUGGGAGGGGGAGAUGGAAUUAGUGGUGUAGGGGUAAAAUCCGUAGAUAUCACUAGGAAUACCGAAAGCGAAGGCGAUCUCCUGGAACAUAACUGACGCUAAGGCGUGAAAGCGUGGGGAGCAAACAGGAUUAGAAACCCUUGUAGUCC